GAUGAACGCUGGCGGCGUGCUUAACACAUGCAUGUCGAACGGGAAAUACUUUAUUGAAACUUCGGUGGAUUUAAUUUAUUUCUAGUGGCGGACGGGUGAGUAACGCGUGGGUAACCUGCCUUAUACUGGGGGAUAACAGCCAGAAAUGACUGCUAAUACCGCAUAAGCGCACAGAACCGCAUGGUUCGGUGUGAAAAACUCCGGUGGUAUAAGAUGGACCCGCGUUGGAUUAGCUAGUUGGCAGGGCAGCGGCCUACCAAGGCGACGAUCCAUAGCCGGCCUGAGAGGGUGAACGGCCACAUUGGGACUGAGACACGGCCCAGACUCCUACGGGAGGCAGCAGUGGGGAAUAUUGCACAAUGGGGGAAACCCUGAUGCAGCGACGCCGCGUGAAGGAAGAAGUAUCUCGGUAUGUAAACUUCUAUCAGCAGGGAAGAUAA
rnacentral:rRNA from 1 species